rnacentral:rRNA from 1 species
GAUGAACGCUGGCGGCGUGCCUAAUACAUGCAAGUCGAGCGAACGGACGAGAAGCUUGCUUCUCUGAUGUUAGCGGCGGACGGGUGAGUAACACGUGGAUAACCUACCUAUAAGACUGGGAUAACUUCGGGAAACCGGAGCUAAUACCGGAUAAUAUUUUGAACCGCAUGGUUCAAAAGUGAAAGACGGUCUUGCUGUCACUUAUAGAUGGAUCCGCGCUGCAUUAGCUAGUUGGUAAGGUAACGGCUUACCAAGGCAACGAUGCAUAGCCGACCUGAGAGGGUGAUCGGCCACACUGGAACUGAGACACGGUCCAGACUCCUACGGGAGGCAGCAGUAGGGAAUCUUCCGCAAUGGGCGAAAGCCUGACGGAGCAACGCCGCGUGGGUGAUGAAGGUCUUCGGAUCGUAAAACUCUGUUAUUAGGGAAGAACAUAUGUGUAAGUAACUGUGCACAUCUUGACGGUACCUAAUCAGAAAGCCACGGCUAACUACGUGCCAGCAGCCGCGGUAAUACGUAGGUGGCAAGCGUUAUCCGGAAUUAUUGGGCGUAAAGCGCGCGUAGGCGGUUUUUUAAGUCUGAUGUGAAAGCCCACGGCUCAACCGUGGAGGGUCAUUGGAAACUGGAAAACUUGAGUGCAGAAGAGGAAAGUGGAAUUCCAUGUGUAGCGGUGAAAUGCGCAGAGAUAUGGAGGAACACCAGUGGCGAAGGCGACUUUCUGGUCUGUAACUGACGCUGAUGUGCGAAAGCGUGGGGAUCAAACAGGAUUAGAUACCCUGGUAGUCCACGCCGUAAACGAUGAGUGCUAAGUGUUAGGGGGUUUCCGCCCCUUAGUGCUGCAGCUAACGCAUUAAGCACUCCGCCUGGGGAGUACGACCGCAAGGUUGAAACUCAAAGGAAUUGACGGGGACCCGCACAAGCGGUGGAGCAUGUGGUUUAAUUCGAAGCAACGCGAAGAACCUUACCAAAUCUUGACAUCCUUUGACAACUCUAGAGAUAGAGCCUUCCCCUUCGGGGGACAAAGUGACAGGUGGUGCAUGGUUGUCGUCAGCUCGUGUCGUGAGAUGUUGGGUUAAGUCCCGCAACGAGCGCAACCCUUAAGCUUAGUUGCCAUCAUUAAGUUGGGCACUCUAAGUUGACUGCCGGUGACAAACCGGAGGAAGGUGGGGAUGACGUCAAAUCAUCAUGCCCCUUAUGAUUUGGGCUACACACGUGCUACAAUGGACAAUACAAAGGGCAGCGAAACCGCGAGGUCAAGCAAAUCCCAUAAAGUUGUUCUCAGUUCGGAUUGUAGUCUGCAACUCGACUACAUGAAGCUGGAAUCGCUAGUAAUCGUAGAUCAGCAUGCUACGGUGAAUACGUUCCCGGGUCU